GUCUGUCAAGUCGGAAUGUGAAAUCCCCGGGCUCAACCUGGGAACUGCAUUCGAAACUGGCAGGCUAGAGUCUUGUAGAGGGGGGUAGAAUUCCAGGUGUAGCGGUGAAAUGCGUAGAGAUCUGGAGGAAUACCGGUGGCGAAGGCGGCCCCCUGGACAAAGACUGACGCUCAGGUGCGAAAGCGUGGGGAGCAAACAGGAUUAGAUACCCUGGUAGUCCACGCCGUAAACGAUGUCGACUUGGAGGUUGUUCCCUUGAGGAGUGGCUUCCGGAGCUAACGCGUUAAGUCGACCGCCUGGGGAGUACGGCCGCAAGGUUAAAACUCAAAUGAAUUGACGGGGGCCCGCACAAGCGGUGGAGCAUGUGGUUUAAUUCGAUGCAACGCGAAGAACCUUACCUACUCUUGACAUCCAGAGAACUUAGCAGAGAUGCUUUGGUGCCUUCGGGAACUCUGAGACAGGUGCUGCAUGGCUGUCGUCAGCUCGUGUUGUGAAAUGUUGGGUUAAGUCCCGCAACGAGCGCAACCCUUAUCCUUUGUUGCCAGCGGUUCGGCCGGGAAACUCAAAGGAGACUGCCAGUGAUAAACUGGAGGAAGGUGGGGGAUGACGUCAAAGUCAUCAUGGGCCCUUACGAGUAGGGGCUACACACGUGCUACAAUGGCAUAUACAAA
rnacentral:rRNA from 1 species